AAAAGGUCUUGGUUGGGGACCCAAGCCGAAGGCCCGCAGAACAGCAAGUGCAAGCAGUUCGUCGACAUCUUGUUCGCAGUCCACACAAAAAGAGAUUGAAUUACAAGCUAAACUUCAUGAAGCUUUGGAACGGAUUGAAGUACAAGAUAGAAAUCACCAAGCAUUAGCUUCACAAGUGGAAGCUAUCAAAAAGAUGAUUGAAGACCUAACUCGUGCACAACAGGGACCACCACAUGAUCCCUAGCUCUGCGGAUCGAAGGUGUAGAAUGACGCGCAUACGCACCUCGUUGGGAGAUUGGGUCUUAUGUUUAUGUUUUUUCUAUAUUGAGAACUAUAUUUUUUUGUAGUCAACUUAUUCGUAUUAUUAAUUUUAAUUCUAUUUUUUUAA